GAAAAGCUCUGGAUGUGCUUCAAGAAGCCUGGAGAAAUAUUCAUGAAGACCACUUAAAUGCUUUGCUGAAGAAUAAAGAAGCGGAGAUUCAUUGCUCGAUGAAAGUUGCUUUCAGCCACCAGCUGCUUCUCAAACAGACAUCUUCACGUCUUGGCGUUCUAUGGCAGAGAGGAUAAAGGUCACCAUGAAGGUCACAGAAAAAGAUCCAGCGAGGGAGGUGACUCAGCUGCAUGUCUGUGUGGGAGGGAAGGAAGCUAAGAAGGACAAUGAACAAGAAAAAGAAAACAGAAUUAUGAAAAGGAGGGAGGCCGCUUUCCAACACCACAUGUGGUGGUUCCGGAAUUCCACCUGAACACAAUCGACCCACUGAGAAAGCGUUUGUGGGACAGAAUUAGAUGUGCCUGGCUGACGCGGGUGGCUGUGAGGAUGGAGGCAGCAGCAGCAGCAGCAGGUGUGGUUGCCGCGUGGCGAGCGUGUUCAGCGUGGGCUUUAAGAGAAGCAAAGAGAAUUCGUCGGCGGGUCUAGUAGAGGAGUAUGCGGCGUUCGAUGGCCUUGCGGCAGAUGGGACACUCGCUCAUUCGAUCCCCGCACAGCUGGCAGGUUCCGUGGCCGCACAUGAAGAUCAUGUUCUUCAGCCGGUCCAGGCACACCGGACACAUGGUCUGCAC